UACAGAGGUCCCAAGCGUUGUUCGGAUUUACUGGGCGUAAAGGGAGCGUAGGUGGCAUUCUAAGUCUGAUGUGAAAGCUCUGAGCUUAACUCAGAAAUGGCAUUAGAAACUAGUUUGCUUGAGGAUUGGAGGGGGAGAUUGGAAUUCUUGGUGUAGCAGUGAAAUGCGUAGAUAUCAAGAGGAACACCAGUGGCGAAGGCGAAUCUCUGGACAAUUCCUGACACUGAUGCUCGAAAGCUAGGGGAGCAAACGGG
rnacentral:rRNA from 1 species